rnacentral:rRNA from 1 species
UAAAGGUCUGGUCCUGGCCUUAUUAUCAAUUAUAGCUUAACUUACACAUGCAAGUCUCCUCACCCCUGUGAAAACGCCCUCUUCCUCCUAAUUAGAGGAGGGGGAGCUGGUAUCAGGCUCAAUAUGCCCACAACACCUAGCCCCGCCACACCCCCAAGGGUACUCAGCAGUGAUAAAUAUUGUAAACUAGCGUAAGCUAAAUUCAGUUACCAGCUAAAAAAACCGGUCAACCUCGUGCCAGCCGCCGCGGUUAUACGGGUGGGUUUAAAUUGAUAACAUCGGCACAAAGCGUGGUUAGACACCUUAUUUUAUAAAGCAAAAAUUAAGCCUAGCUGUGAUAUGCUCCUGCUUUUAUUAAUCUCAAUUACGAAAGUAGCUUUAACCCAGUUGAAUCCACGAUCGCUAGGACACAAACUGGGAUUAGAUACCCCACUAUGCCUAGCCAUAAACUUUGAUAUCUCCGCCAGGGGACUACGAGCGUCAGCUUAAAACCCAAAAGACUUGGCGGUGCCCUAUACCUCCUAGAGGAGCCUG